GGGCCGGUAGAUCAGUCGCAGAUCGCCCGCCUCGCACGCGGGAGGCCGCGGGUUCAAGUCCCGCCCGGUCCACCA
rnacentral:tRNA from 1 species